rfam:Triticum aestivum genome assembly, contig: Triticum_aestivum_CS42_TGACv1_scaffold_404922_5BL
GUACUACUCCCUCGGUUCGGAAUUACUCGUUCAAGAAAUGAAUGUAUCUAGAUGUAUUUUAGUUGUAGAUACAAUGAUACAUCCAUUUUUAUGACAAGUAAUUCCGAACGGAGGGAGUAGACA